CGCAUAUCACAUCUCCGACUCGUUCGUUCUUCGGAUCUCAAAGAUUUCGGAUCGGAGCUAUGAGCCGUGCAGGUUCCGUCGGAAAGGUUAAGUCCGAUGAUGAAAUAAAAAAUUUCGGUGUUGCUUGGCUUUGGGAUUUCGAAAACAUGUGGUUGGAGAACACGGAUCACCCUAGUUUAGAUCAACUUCGUGAGAACGUUGAUAAAGCACUGAAAACUCUCAACCCUCUCUAUUUCCUCCACGGCAAUCCCAUUGGCUAUGGAAAAGUAAAAAAAAAGUAAUAAAGCUGCUGUUAAGUAUCUGAGAAAAAAAGAUUUCACUUUUCACAAUGAGGAAACAAGAACUGUCCAUUGUUCUACGUGUGGAGUCAUGAUGCGACAAUCAAGUAUUUAUCCCAACGAUGAUCCUCACGAGAGGAAGACGGACAUAGCCGAUAUCUCUCUCGUGAAAGAGGCCAUCUUUCACGCUAUGGAUUCAAUUACUAAUGAAAAAGUCCCUCGCAACAUUCUUUUGGUAUCAAAUGAUAAAGAUUUCAAAUGCACUCUUGAAGCUUUGAAACUCAGAGGUUUUACAGUGAUGGCGGCAAUCGAAGCUAAAACUCCAAAUCACAUGUAUGCGGAUAUUUGUGGCAAUGGUACUUGGUGUUGGAAGGAGAUGGAGAAAGGAGGUAAGCAUAUCUCCAAAUCAAUCAUGAAAUAGACAAGGGAGAGUAUGAAGAGAAGAGAAGAUUGUUUUUACUAUGCUUUUGUUUUUAGUCUCUGCUUUCUAUGAACCGAUUCUUCCUUAUCAUGCUUCAUUAUCUAAUAGUAUACAUCAUAAUAAAAGAAUUAGGCUACUUGAUUUGACCUCUUGUGCACGGGUGAAAUAUAUUUGUUUUGUUAAUGCCAUUUCUAGUGAUCU